GACAGUUUAGCCAUCAGAAGUAAAGCUUUGAUCCAUGCAAGGAGUUUUGAAAUAUUGUAUCAGAAAUUUGGGGAUGAUGGCUUCAUAAGCCUUGGAGAAGGACUGCCAGCUUAGAUUAACUUUGAUACGUAGCAUUUGAUCAUUUAUAAGGUACGUGACUAAAUGAAAUGGUUUUAAUUUGACAACCUUUUCACUUCAUUGUUAUCAAUAAUGCUGUGUUCUUAAGCACUGAGCAGGGCAAUUUUCUUAAGUAAAGCUUGACAGACCUAGUGAAACACGAUACCUCCUCAUAUAGCUGAAGAUAUCCUUACACAACUUCACUGAAGAAUGAUAACAAAACAUAGCUUGCAACUCUUGUGACUUUCACAGCAAAUGUACGAGUGUCUGCUAUUGUUCAUCACGGUCUCUGACUUCUUUUCAGCUGCAAC
rnacentral:lncRNA from 1 species